rnacentral:rRNA from 1 species
GGUGGUUAUAGCAAUGAGGCUCACCUCUUCCCAUUCCGAACAGAGAAGUUAAGCUCAUUUGCGCCGAUGGUACUGCAAUUAUGUGGGAGAGUAGGUCGCCGCCUUC